ensembl:lncRNA
GCAUUUUAUUUAUAUUUCAAGGGAAAGAUUUACAGUCAAUCCUCAAAAUGGACAGAGGCAAGACUUCAUCAACAAAAAUGAUUUUGAUUUCAACUUAAUACGUUGAUAUAAAAUCUUUAAUACAAAUCCAUAAAGAUGAUUGUUUGAUUAAGCCAUUGUUGAUAUAAUCAAAAUCUCGACAUUGGAUGAAAUGCUUACAUCCGCAAAGUAUUUCCCUAGCACAGAUAUAACCACUGCAUCAAGCAUCUCCCAGAUAAAUUACAUUCAUUAAAAAACACAAGCUUAAGGAACAGAUUUCAAAUGAAUGAAAAACUAUUGAAAUGACAUAUUAUAGUUUGUUUGUGACCUCACAUAACAGUUUCCCCCACCUUUCCUCCAGGUACUCGACAAUGAUCCUCUAUUUGAAUUCCCUCUCUAAUGAAACGGAGAUGUUCUCCUCUGGCUUCAAGGGGAGGUGACUGAACGCAAUUUGAAAGUGUUUUUUAAAAAUGUUUUGUUUCUUUUGUGGUAUCACUCAAAGUAGAAGAUUUGUAUGACUACAAAAUGUACGCUGUGUCUUGGCCAUGAGCUGUAGUGGAGAAGGAUGAGUGGUAAGACUUCACUGGAGAGGAGAAGGAUGAGUGGUAAGACAUCACUGGAGAGGAGAAGGAUGAGUGGUAAGACAUCACUGGAGAGGUGAAGGAUGAGUGGUAAGACUUCACUGGAGAGGAGAAGGAUGAGUGGUAAGACUUUACUGGAGAGGAGAAGGAUGAGUACACAUUGCUUGUCUUUUCUAGGAACCUCUUCCUAGGUGCUAACUAGCCCGGAUGCCUGUCAGUUUGCCAGGCAUUGGCUGGUCCUUUGUCACUGUCCUGCCAAACCGGAGUAAGCUGGUGGUGUAUGUAUGAGAGGAUAAACACAGCACUUACUCUCUGGUCAGGGUGCCAGUCUUCCAGUCUGUCUCAGUCUGUUCUAGCUAGCUGUUUGGCAUGCAGGGCUGGCUGACUGUUCAAAUAGACUGAAGGCUACAAAAUGGUUGUUAGUCACAAUUUGAGGGGGUUUAGAAAUGUUAACAUGCAGAGCGCUGCUGAGACAUAGGCCAAUAGAGGGAGACAGGGAAUUUACAUAGGAGGCAGGCUAAGGUGUGUGGGGGUAAGGAGGGGGUGGGUGGUGUGAGGGAUGGUUAGGGUGAGGAGUGUAGGGAGUGAUUAGUGACAGACAGGUUGGAGGAUGGGUAUGUUCCAAAGUGGUUGGGAUGAGGUACAUGGGGAAAGUGUAAGGGGGUUUGAGUGAGGUGUGUUGAGGUGUUGGUACAUAAGGGGAGUCAGUGAGGUGUGUUGAGGUGUUGGUACAUAAG